rnacentral:misc_RNA from 1 species
CUGAGUUACCGCUCAUAACCCUUUGUGAACAUACCUUAACUGUUUGCUUCGGCGGGUAGGCGUCCCCUGAAAAGGACGUCUCCCGGCCCUCUCCCGUCCGCGGGUGGGGCGCCCGCCGGAGGAUAACCAAACUCUGAUUUAACGACGUUUCUUCUGAGUGACACAAGCAAAUAAUCA